AUGGGAAGGGAGCUGUUAGGAGCAGCUUUCCCACACAGCAUUGCCUGUUUUGCUGUGGUCUGAGCACAGUGGCCCUUGAUCGUCUUCGGCCCAGAUCUCCCCAGACUGAAACGACGAGAAAGAAGAGAUGAGGUGGAUAACAAAACACAUCUGACUAGAUGUCAAGAGGCAAGGGUUUCAUCCCAUGCCAAAGGAGAGCAAAAGAAAAUGAGAACACAGCAGAGAAGUGCUGCGCACAGUCCUGACCCUCCUUGGCUUGAGAACCUGGCUGAAGGUGACAUCUGCAUCUUCUGCUGCUGGGGCCCUGGAGGAGUACUUCCAAAGCAGGAGGUGAUCCCGAGACAAGCACAGACACACAGGGAUGCAU